GACGAACGCUGGCGGCGUGCUUAACACAUGCAAGUCGAACGGAAAGGCCCUGCUUUUGUGGGGUGCUCGAGUGGCGAACGGGUGAGUAACACGUGAGUAACCUGCCCUUGACUUUGGGAUAACUUCAGGAAACUGGGGCUAAUACCGGAUAGGAGCUCCUGCUGCAUGGUGGGGGUUGGAAAGUUUCGGCGGUUGGGGAUGGACUCGCGGCUUAUCAGCUUGUUGGUGGGGUAGUGGCUUACCAAGGCUUUGACGGGUAGCCGGCCUGAGAGGGUGACCGGCGACCACGGGGGGGCGGAGCGACGCGGCAGACUCCGGCGGGCGGCAGCGGGGGAGAUUAUAGAACGGGGGGCGGGAGGAUGCAGCAGCGCCGCGGGGGGGGUGAUGGCGGUCGUGGGGUAGAAAACUGUGGCCGGUUGUGACGAGGGGGGGGCGGCGAUGGGGGAAAAAGAACCGGCGAAUAACGAG
rnacentral:rRNA from 1 species